AGAGGAGGGCGAGAUAUCCUAUUCGGAGAAACAGACUGGGCAGUGAGCAGGGCUGGAAAGGGCUGGCCAGGUGUGGGGAAAGAUGAGUGGUCUGGACCCAUGAAAAUGGCAGGGAAUCAAUGAGAGACAGUGAGGUACCAGGCUCUGUGCCUGGCAUUUUCUAUGUUUGGGAUUUAUGUUACACUUAGAACAAUCCUGUAAGCCCUAAAGGUGAUAUUGAACCUCUGAUUCUGCUACAGUACUAAGAUUUAUUACAUCGCUGGAGGGCAGUGCAGAUAUGAUGUGACAUGAUCUACAGAGCAAACCAACUGGCCCUCUUGCAGCUGGAACUCUUGAAUGGAACACUUGCUCUUUGAGUCCUGAGGGGCCAUUGAAGGAAUCCAACUACUCUGAGGCUCCCAUGCUGGAGAGACCCCAGGUAAGUGCUCCAGUUGAGGGUCUCAGCUGAACCCAGUCUUCCAGCUAUCCUUGCCAAGGUGCCAGAUGUAUGAGAGCCCCUCCAGACCAGACCAUCUUUUAGCCCAGUGCCACCAAGUCAACUCUGUUGAUGCCACAUGGAACAGAUGAACCACUCAGAUGAGCCCUGUCCAAAUUCCUGACCUACAAAAUUCGGAGCUGCGGAUACAAGUCUUAUGAGUUCAUCUAUAAACAUAAGCAUAGAAAGCAGUAGAAGCCACACCUACAGUGAAGAGCUCUCCAUAUGGGGUUG